UACGAAGGGGGCGAGCGUUGUUCGGAAUCACUGGGCGUAAAGGGCGCGUAGGCGGCCCUCUUUGUCGCGUGUGAAAGCCCCGGGCUCAACUGGGGAGGGUCACGCGAUACUGGUCGACUCGAAGGCAGGAGAGGGUAGUGGAAUUCCCGGUGUAGUGGUGAAAUGCGUAGAUAUCGGGAGGAACACCAGUGGCGAAGGCGACUACCUGGCCUGUUCUUGACGCUGAGGCGCGAAAGCUAGGGGAGCAAACGGG
rnacentral:rRNA from 1 species